rnacentral:rRNA from 2 species
GGGGGAUAUUGCACAAUGGGGGAAACCCUGAUGCAGCGACGCCGCGUGGAGGAAGAAGGUUUUCGGAUUGUAAACUCCUGUCGUUAGGGACGAUAAUGACGGUACCUAACAAGAAAGCACCGGCUAACUACGUGCCAGCAGCCGCGGUAAAACGUAGGGUGCAAGCGUUGUCCGGAAUUACUGGGUGUAAAGGGAGCGCAGGCGGGAAGACAAGUUGGAAGUGAAAACCAUGGGCUCAACCCAUGAAUUGCUUUCAAAACUGUUUUUCUUGAGUAGUGCAGAGGUAGAUGGAAUUCCCGGUGUAGCGGUGGAAUGCGUAGAUAUCGGGAGGAACACCAGUGGCGAAGGCGGUCUACUGGGCACCAACUGACGCUGAGGCUCGAAAGCAUGGGUAGCAAACAGGAUUAGAUACCCUGGUAGUCCAUGCCGUAAACGAUGAUUACUAGGUGUUGGGGGAUUGACCCCCUCAGUGCCGCAGUUAACACAAUAAGUAAUCCACCUGGGGAGUACGACCGCAAGGUUGAAACUCAAAGGAAUUGACGGGGGCCCGCACAAGCAGUGGAGUAUGUGGUUUAAUUCGAAGCAACGCGAAGAACCUUACCAGGUCUUGACAUCCGAUGCAUAGCACAGAGAUGUGUGAAAUCCUUCGGGACAUCGAGACAGGUGGUGCAUGGUUGUCGUCAGCUCGUGUCGUGAGAUGUUGGGUUAAGUCCCGCAACGAGCGCAACCCUUACUGUCAGUUACUACGCAAGAGGACUCUGGCAGGACUGCCGUUGACAAAACGGAGGAAGGUGGGGAUGACGUCAAAUCAUCAUGCCCUUUAUGACUUGGGCUACACACGUACUACAAUGGCGCUAAACAAAGAGAAGCAAGACCGCGAGGUGGAGCAAAACUCAGAAACAACGUCCCAGUUCGGACUGCAGGCUGCAACUCGCCUGCACGAAGUCGGAAUUGCUAGUAAUCGUGGAUCAGCAUGCCACGGUGAAUACGUUCCCG